CCUACGGGCGGCAGCAGUGGGGAAUAUUGCACAAUGGGCGCAAGCCUGAUGCAGCCAUGCCGCGUGUGUGAAGAAGGCCUUCGGGUUGUAAAGCACUUUCAGCGGGGAGGAAGGCGGUGAGGUUAAUAACCUCAUCGAUUGACGUUACCCGCAGAAGAAGCACCGGCUAACUCCGUGCCAGCAGCCGCGGUAAUACGGAGGGUGCAAGCGUUAAUCGGAAUUACUGGGCGUAAAGCGCACGCAGGCGGUCUGUCAAGUCGGGUGUGAAAUCCCCGGGCUCAACCUGGGAACUGCAUUCGAAACUGGCAGGCUAGAGUCUUGUAGAGGGGGGUAGAAUUCCAGGGGUAGCGGUGAAAUGCGUAGAGGUCUGGAGGAAUACCGGUGGCGAGGGCGGCCCCCUGGACAAAGACUGACGCUCAGGUGCGAAAGCGUGGGGAGCAAACAGGAUUAGAUACCCCAGUAGUC
rnacentral:rRNA from 1 species